AAAAAGGUAAACCCUGGGUUUGCGUGUCCAACUUUGACUGUCCGUCUUAUAUGAAAGUUUUUUAUAAUUCGUAUUUUCAUCGUUGUUAGAUGAUAAAACAUGAUUAAUAUUUUAUGCGUGACUUGUUUUUUUAAUUUUUUUUAAUUUUUUUUCAAAUAAGACGGACGGUCAAACGUUGGGCACGGAAACCAGGGUUUGUCUUUUU
rfam:Oryza sativa Japonica Group DNA, chromosome 4, cultivar: Nipponbare, complete sequence.